GGCAAGCGUUGUCCGGAAUUAUUGGGCGUAAAGGGCUCGCAGGCGGUUUCUUAAGUCUGAUGUGAAAGCCCCCGGCUCAACCGGGGAGGGUCAUUGGAAACUGGGAAACUUGAGUGCAGAAGAGGAGAGUGGAAUUCCACGUGUAGCGGUGAAAUGCGUAGAGAUGUGGAGGAACACCAGUGGCGAAGGCGACUCUCUGGUCUGUAACUGACGCUGAGGAGCGAAAGCGUGGGGAGCGAACAGGAUUAGAUACCCUGGUAGUCCACGCCGUAAACGAUGAGUGCUAAGUGUUAGGGGGUUUCCGCCCCUUAGUGCUGCAGCUAACGCAUUAAGCACUCCGCCUGGGGAGUACGGUCGCAAGACUGAAACUCAAAGGAAUUGACGGGGGCCCGCACAAGCGGUGGAGCAUGUGGUUUAAUUCGAAGCAACGCGAAGAACCUUACCAGGUCUUGACAUCCUCUGACAACCCUAGAGAUAGGGCUUUCCCUUCGGGGACAGAGU
rnacentral:rRNA from 1 species